rnacentral:rRNA from 1 species
UACGUAGGGGGCAAGCGUUGUCCGGAUUUAUUGGGCGUAAAGAGCGUGUAGGCGGCCAGGUAGGUCCGUUGUGAAAACUCGAGGCUCAACCUCGAGACGUCGGCGGAAACCCUCUGGCUAGAGUCCGGAAGAGGAGAGUGGAACUCCUGGUGUAGCGGUGAAAUGCGCAGAUAUCAGGAAGAACACCCGUGGCGAAGGCGGCUCUCUGGGACGGUACUGACGCUGAGACGCGAAAGCGUGGGGAGCAAACAGG